AUUGAACGCUGGCGGCAGGCCUAACACAUGCAAGUCGAGCGAUCGGCGGACGGGUGAGUAAUGUAUGGGAAUCUGCCUGAUAGAGGGGGAUAACUACUGGAAACGGUGGCUAAUACCGCAAACUAUCGGAUGAACCCAUAGGGGAUUAGAUAGUAGGUGGGUUAAAGGCUCACCUAGGCGACGAUCUCUAGCUGGUCUGAGAGGAUGACCAGCCACACUGGGACUGAGACACGGUCCAGACUCCUACGGGAGGCAGCAGUGGGGAAUAUGGCACAAUGGGCGCAAGCCUGAUGCAGCCAUGCCGCGUGUAUGAAGAAGGCCUUAGGGUUGUAAAGUACUUUCAGCGGGGAGGCGUUACCCGCAGAAGAAGCACCGGCUAACUCCGUGCCAGCAGCCGCGGUAAUAC
rnacentral:rRNA from 1 species